rnacentral:misc_RNA from 1 species
CGCACAUCCAAUAUACACAUUUAUCACAAUGAAAAUUUAAACGUAACAAUUAGUGUAAUGUUUCAGUUGCAUCCUUCCUGUUUACAUCAAAGAAUUGUCAAACAGUCUCUCUCUCUUAAAGAGAAGAAAACGGGGAUAAACUUCUACAGUAAACAUGAACCAUCUAAAGAAUUGUCAAACAGCCUCUUUCUCCAAGAGAGAAGAAAACAGGGAUAAACUUCUACAGUAAACAUGAACCAUCUAAAGAAUUGUCAAACAGCCUCUUUCUCCAAGAGAGAAGAAAACAGGGAUAAACUUCUACAGUAAACAUGACCCGUCUAAAGCAACUGAUAAUACCAUGAUACCCUAUAGUCCUGUUCUCUCUGCUCAGACAGCAGCUUAAUCUCGGAAUCAUACAACAGGCUAUCUUUGUAAUUGGUAAUAGCAUCUUGAUUCACCAUGACUCCUCAUCUAAAUGAUCCUUGUAUGGUCUUUUUCCUUUAAAGUCUUGCUGCUUGAUUCUUGAUUUCCUACAACUCCUGCGCUUACUGUUGUCCUUAUGAACAUGGUGAAGAUAAUGAUCGAUAUCCCUUCUUGAAUGGUUAUGCCCAUGCUCUUGACGAGUGCUUCUUCGCUUAUGUUGAGCAUCAUGCUUGUGGUGCCUUGCUCUAAAUUCAUGGUAUUUAUUCACAUGAAUGUGAUGAUGGUGAAUAUCAGUAUCAUGCCUUGGCAUAUGUCUACUUCUCUGCUUAUCCACCCAAACAUGAUCUUCCCACCAGUCAUAAAGAGGAUCAAAUAGUCCUUUCUGAUGUAAAAGCCACAGUAGCACUAGCACUAUUGGGAAAAUAGCCAAAAGUAGACCAAACAUCACCAUCCAACUCAAACAUAUAUAUUGUAUGUGGCAACUGAAAUCAAAGAAACUAAUGCAUUUCCUUCUGCAAGUUUGUCCAGUGAUGAAAUCCACCAAAGCUUCCCACAAUUUCAUCCCAAUGCUUUCAAUAGAUUCAAAGAAACCAUUUACACCAGUCUGUGGCUGAAGGGGAGUAAUCUGUGGUCCAUUGUCAAGGAUGGUAGCUGUAGUAGAAAAUUGGCACUCAGCUCUAUCAACUUCAUGAAAAUUAGAGUCCUUUAGUAUAGCUGCACACACAUAUUUUGCAGCUUGAUCAGUGGUUGGGUAGAGUUUAAAUGACCGAGUUGCAAGUUCAUUUGGUUUCAUAAUGAAGAAUUGUUCCUCCAUAAGGGAGACACCUCUUGAGCAGUCAAACGUUAAGCUGUAUGAUGCUUCCACUUUCCCAGUAUUCUCUGUUGUGAUUGUAGCAACCCCAAAUUGAGUAAGGGCUUCAAAUGUGGGGAUAGUAACAUUUAAGAUUUUCCCAGGACUCCUUUGGUAGACAUAUUCUAUGUCAUCAGCACUAAGUUCUAUCAGAAGAUUUGUAUUAAGAACUUCAGUGAUGCCUAUGGAGAAUGAAUGAGUCCCUGCAUGUGGAUGCUGGUUUAUCCUUUCAAACCUUCCUUCCACACCAUAUAGUGGUAUUUGCUUCCUAUUAAUUCGGUUCUGAUCAGCAUCUCGGUAAUUCCAUAACUGAUUAUGCAAACAACUCCAAAAUGGUGAAGAACAGAAGUUUGGUUGUCCAUUGAAAGCCUCAUAACCAACUCCAAUUUUGUUGCAUUCAAAGCCAUCUAAGGUAAACCUGACUCUCUCAAGCAGCAUCCACAUUGAAAAGUUCCUUCCAAGAUCAUGUGGUUGACCAGGCUCAUCCUGCCUUGGAAUGACAAGGUAGAAAUCUUCAAAAGAAGGAAGACUAGAGUAUCCAACAAAAUCUCCAAUAAGACUAGCCCUUAGAAAAUUAUCCUUAGAUGUCACAGUUCUAUUUUCAGGGCCCACUAUCACUUCCGAAACUUUAGAUCCUGACUUCACCUCAAUUUGAACACUAAAUCCAAUUGAUCUCUGUCCAAUACCAAAAACAUGGAACCAAUCACCUGGAAAUCUGACACAGUGCGCAGUAUUGGCCUUGCCUUUUAUUAAUUUGUCAAAAAAGUUUCCACAUGAUGAAGGUACUCGCCGUUGGGGCCCACAAGGACAACAGGUUGGCUCAGAAUGCUCAAUAAUGUGACCAUUCUUAUCUCGCAACCUCUCGCAUAUCUUCACGAUAUCUCCGCCAGCAUCCGGCUCACAUUUACGUGUCUUAACAUAGUAUUCUUCCGGUUUAUAAGCAACGUCACGUAUAUAUAGUAGCUCAUACAGGACAUAUGCAGCAGAUUUAUUGACGGUUAUCACCGGUGGUAUUCGCAGUGUUUGCAUGUUGCUGGUCGAAUUCUCCUCCACCUCCACUAUCUCCGCCACAAUCGACGCCUCUCCCCCACUAGAACCGCUGGGAACGGCCAAGUUGAGGACGAUUUUGGUAGUGCAAUUGAGAGUAUCGGAAUCGGAGCCCUUCUCGCACCUUUCAAGCUUCGAUUUCGAUAGAAUCUCUACUCCUAUAACAGUUCCUAUGCUAAAGUAACCCACCAAGCAACACAAAAUUAACACUAUCGUUUGCCCCUCCAUUUUUGUUUUUCCUGGCGAGUUCUUUUUUUC